rnacentral:misc_RNA from 1 species
AUUAGGGAGUAGGAAUUCGAAUCUAAAUCUACUAAAUAAUAUACUUCUAAUUAUUGAAUCAAGCCAAAUUAGACAAAGUUCUAAUUCUCUACUUUGACUUAUGUAUUAAUUUUCAAUUUAGCCAAAGGUAUCAAACCAUUUCAUAAAGUUAAAAUAGAAUGCUCAUUUGAAAAAGUUCAUAUACAUCUGAUUUUAUUACUGGGACAGAAUUUAAUAAUCAAAUUCAUAUUUCCUAAUGUGAAAUAUGAGAAAUUUAAUUUCCU